UACGUAGGGUGCGAGCGUUGUCCGGAAUUAUUGGGCGUAAAGGGCUCGUGGGCGGUUUGUCGCGUCGGGAGUGAAAACACGGGGCUUAACCCCGUGCCUGCUUCCGAUACGGGCAGACUAGAGGUAUGCAGGGGAGAACGGAAUUCCUGGUGUAGCGGUGAAAUGCGCAGAUAUCAGGAGGAACACCGGUGGCGAAGGCGGGUCUCUGGGCCGAUAUUGACGCUGAGGAGCGAAAGCGUGGGGAGCGAACAGG
rnacentral:rRNA from 1 species